AUCAGUAAGCGGAGGAAAAGAAACUAACAAGGAUUCCCUUAGUAGCGGCGAGCGAACAGGGAUGAGCCCAGCACCGAACCUCGCGCCCGGUUGAGCGGGUGCCGAGGAAUGUGGUGUUCGGGAGGAUCGUGCGCGCCUGUCCGGUAUAUAUCGUCCAAGUCUCCAUGAACGGGGCGAGCAACCCACAGAGGGUGUCAGGCCCGUAGCUUAGACGAGCCGAGACCGUGCAUCGGAUCCCUUCCCAAGAGUCGGGUUGCUUGAGCGUGCAGCCCUAAGCGGGAGGUAAACUCCUUCUAAGGCUAAAUAUCGCCACGAGACCGAUAGCGAACAAGUACCGCGAGGGAAAGUUGAAAAGAACUUUGAAGAGAGAGUUCAAGAGUGCGUGAAACCGUUCAGGGGGUUAAACGGGUGGGCCCUCGAAGGUCGAACGAGCCCCCGCUCCCGGCACUUGGUUGCAUGCCCUCUGCUGCGAAGAGACCGACUUGAUUUGGCGGCUCUGUUCGUUGGCGAGGACCGCAUUAGCCGCGCCAAGGUCCGCAAGUGGGGGGCCUAGUAGGACUCCGCGACCGACUGGGUGUCUGUUAUACGGGGCGUUCGUUAGCGAGUUUUGGGUUACCUCGUGUGCCCUCGACGAGCGCGGCGUCACUCAACAGUACUGCCCGGUCGUGACCUGUCUCCUCCCGGAUUGUCUACGUGUAUCUCGCUAGAGGCUUCGAUCUGGAGCUUCAGGGCUUGGCAUCACGUUGUAGAAAACCGCGGAGGCCCAGAGCGGAGAGUAGAAGUCGGGUCCCACCCGACCCGUCUUGAAACACGGACCAAGGAGUCUAACAUGUGCGCGAGUCGUCGAGUCUAUUACGAAACUCGCGAGGCGCAAUGAAAGUGAAGCGGCCCCGAUGAGGGUGCAUCCGCGAGGGGUGAUCCCGUCUCGAACAGAGCGGGCGCAACCCCUGGGCGUCCGAAUGCUCGCGAGGCCCCGGUCAAACGGUGUGCCGAGUCGGCCGGACGAACCAAGAGCGUACACGUUGGGACCCGAAAGAUGGUGACCUAUGCCUGGCCAGGACGAAGCCAGGGGAAACCCUGGUGGAGGUCCGCAGCGAUUCUGACGUGCAAAUCGAUCGUCGGAGUUGGGUAUAGGGGCGAAAGACUAAUCGAACCAUCUAGUAGCUGG
rnacentral:rRNA from 1 species